CUACGGGGUGCUGCAGUGAGGAAUAUUGCACAAUGGGGGGAACCCUGAUGCAGCAACGCCGCGUGGAGGAUGACGCAUUUCGGUGUGUAAACUCCUUUUAUAUGUCAAGAAAAUGACGGUAGCAUAUGAAUAAGCACCGGCUAACUCCGUGCCAGCAGCCGCGGUAAUACGGAGGGUGCAAGCGUUACUCGGAAUCACUGGGCGUAAAGGACGCGUAGGCGGGUUGGAAAGUCAGGCGUGAAAUCCUACAGCUUAACUGUAGAACUGCACUUGAAACUUCUAAUCUAGAGUAUGGGAGGGGGAGAUGGAAUUAGUGGUGUAGGGGUAAGAUCCGUAGAUAUCACUAGGAAUACCUAAAGCGAAGGCGAUCUCCUGGAACAUUACUGACGCUAAGGCGUGAAAGCGUGGGGAGCAAACAGGAUUAGAUACCCGGGUAGUC
rnacentral:rRNA from 1 species